AUCACCCAUAGCCACACCCUCCCCUAUAGAAGUCCUGAUGGCACAGCAUCUCACCAUGGACUGGAGCUGGAGAGCCCUCUUCCUGGUGGCAGUAGCUACAGGUGUCCAGGCCCAGGUACAGCUGGUACAGUCUGGGGCUGAGGUGAGGAAGCCUGAGGCCUCAGUGAAGGUCUCCUGCAAGGCUUCUGGAUAUACUUUCACCAGCUACUAUAUGAACUGGGUACGGCAGGCUCCAGGACAAGGCCUUGAGUGGAUGGGAAGAGUUAACCCUAACAAUGGUGGUACAAACUAUGCACAGAAGUUCCAGGGAAGAGUCACCAUGACAACAGAUAAGUCCACAAGUACAGCCUACAUGGAGCUGAGCAGCCUGAGAGCUGAGGACACAGCUGUGUAUUACUGUACUACAGCCACAGUGAAGGGAACAAAGCAUGAAUGCCAGUUGACACUUACAGAUAUCAAGCUGACACUCAAUCCCAGUAGAAGCACAAACGGUGAGGCCACAUCUGUCCUGUCCCAGCAUGAGGAGGACAAAGCUGUGCUGUUCUCUCCAUUGCAUGUAUCUACAAGACCUCAGGCACCACCCUGCAAGACAGCGACCCCGGGUAUUGGAUUUCUGAUUGAGUUCUCCCUGCAGUAG